GGAAGAUGCCGCUGAAUGGACGGCAACUGGUCUUGAAAACCAGGGCAGGGUGACACCUGGGGGUUCGAGUCCUCCAUCUUCCU
rnacentral:tRNA from 1 species